UACAGAGGUCUCAAGCGUUGUUCGGAUUCAUUGGGCGUAAAGCGCACGUAGGCGGAUCGUUAAGUCGGGGGUGAAAUCCUGGAGCUCAACUCCAGAACUGCCUUCGAUACUGGCGAUCUUGAGUCCGGAAGAGGUGAGUGGAACUCCUAGUGUAGAGGUGGAAUUCGUAGAUAUUAGGAAGAACACCAGUGGCGAAGGCGGCUCACUGGUCCGGUACUGACGCUGAGGUGCGAAAGCGUGGGGAGCAAACAGGG
rnacentral:rRNA from 1 species